UUGCACUGUCCGUAACCUGUUAACAGUAUUUUUCUGAUAAUGGGUUCCAUUCCGGUGCUACAUGAUACCCCAAGAUAAUAGAAGGCUGGCUGUUUGUUUGCCUGUCCCCUUUAUUUUGGGGGACAUAA
rnacentral:snoRNA from 1 species